GCGGCCCCGCUCGUGACGUCGCGGGGGGCGCCGGCCUCCGCCCGGCCCCGAGGGGUAAGAGCGAGCGGCUGGCGGAUCCGACGCGCGAGACCGGGAGGGGACGAGGGCGUUGCAAUCGUUCGGGGCGGGGGCUUUCCGGGGAGGGGGUGCUCAGGUGCACCAGCGGCGGCGGACCCUCAGACUCUGCCCUCCCCUCCCUUUAACCCCCUUCCAGCCGGACGGGAGGCGGGGCAGGGCUGAGCAUUUGUGACACCUACAUUUCCGUGGCUCCCUUCUUUUCCCCCGACCCCUGUUUAUCUCUUCGCCUUCCAGAAGUUCUUUUCCAUCAGGCCGUCGCACCUUGCGUGGGAAGGAGCACCCCACUUGGAAGCAGGAGGCGGGGUUCAGAUCUUGGCCCUACCCCUCCUGUGUUAAAGUCCGCGAGCCUCAGUUUCCCUCACAGUAUUUUUUGCCUCGCCUUACCCGGUUUUGAGGAUCUGUACGAGAAAGAGAAAGGAAGUGGACAUUUGUUGAAUUCCUGCAUGGCCAAAUACCACGCAGACUGCUUCAUCCGCCACGUUUAAUCCUUAUUACUUGGUGUUCUCAGAACUCCCAUUUCAUGGAUUCUUAAGCUCACAGAGUCAGUGAAUAACAGAAAGGGAUUCAGAUCUAGCCGUUUAGCUGCACAGUGGAGUUCUUCUCCAGAGUCUUCCCUUGUCUGGGCUCUGGCUGGAACUAUUCCUCAGCCAAAUCCUCGCCCCAGAACAGUGCUUCCUGUUUCUCCAGCUGAGAAGUCUCCCUUUCAGUUUCCUUCUUCCAGCACGGAGUACACUGCUCUGCCUCCACUUAGAUUACUUCAGAAAUGAAAUGCAGCAAAUAUUUAUCCAGCAGUGCAGGGAGUUGAACUUUUGGAGUCGGGAACCUUGGAUUCUUGUUCUGGCUCUGCCACUUACUGUGUGGCCUUGGGAAGUCCUUUGUCUUCUCUGAGCUUUCUUUUCUCUUUGCGUAAAAGCGGUGCUCUUGUCCCAUUCUCCCUCCCUGUCUUCCAGCAGGCUCUCCCCGGAGGCUCAGCCCCCUCUGCUCCCCAUGGGCAACUGCCAGGCAGGGCACAACCUGCACCUGUGUCUGGCCCACCACCCACCUCUGGUCUGUGCCACUUUGAUCCUGCUGCUCCUUGGCCUCUCUGGCCUGGGCCUUGGCAGCUUCCUCCUCACCCACAGGACUGGCCUGCGCAGCCCUGACAUCCCCCAGGACUGGGUCUCUUUUUUGAGAUCUUUUGGCCAGCUGACCCUGUGUCCCAGGAAUGGGACAGUCACAGGGAAGUGGCGAGGGUCUCACGUCGUGGGCUUGCUGACCACCUUGAACUUCGGAGACGGUCCAGACAGGAACAAGACCCGGACAUUCCAGGCCACAGUCCUGGGAAGUCAGAUGGGAUUGAAAGGAUCUUCUGCAGGACAACUGGUCCUUAUCACAGCCAGGGUGACCACAGAAAGGACUGCAGGAACCUGCCUAUAUUUUAGUGCUGUUCCAGGAAUCCUACCCUCCAGCCAGCCACCCAUAUCCUGCUCAGAGGAGGGGGCUGGAAAUGCCACCCUGAGCCCUAGAAUGGGUGAGGAAUGUGUUAGUGUCUGGAGCCAUGAAGGCCUUGUGCUGACCAAGCUGCUCACCUCGGAGGAGCUGGCUCUGUGUGGCUCCAGGCUGCUGGUCUUGGGCUCCUUCCUGCUUCUCUUCUGUGGCCUUCUCUGCUGUGUCACUGCUAUGUGCUUCCACCCGCGCCGGGAGUCCCACUGGUCUAGAACCCGGCUCUGAGGGCACUGGCCUAGUUCCCGACUUGUUUCUCAGACAGAAUCAUACACAUUCUUUUGUGGCUGACUUCUUUCAAGCAACAUUGUGAUUUUAAGACUCAUAACUAGUUCACAUCCAAGCAUUUGGGUAACAAUGGUGUGAAUCAACUUCUUGGGCCUUGGCUCUGAGUUGGAAAAGGUUUUAGAAAAAGUGAAGAGCUGGAAUGUGGGGGAAAAUAAAAAGCUUUUUUGCCCA